rnacentral:rRNA from 1 species
GACAGAGGGUGCAAGCGUUAAUCGGAAUUACUGGGCGUAAAGCGUGCGCAGGCGGUUAUGCAAGACAGAUGUGAAAUCCCCGGGCUCAACCUGGGAACUGCAUUUGUGACUGCAUGGCUAGAGUACGGUAGAGGGGGAUGGAAUUCCGUGUGUAGCAGUGAAAUGCGUAGAUAUGCGGAGGAACACCGAUGGCGAAGGCAAUCCCCUGGACCUGUACUGACGCUCAUGCACGAAAGCGUGGGGAGCAAACAGG